rnacentral:rRNA from 1 species
AUUGAACGCUGGCGGCAGGCCUAACACAUGCAAGUCGAGCGAGCGGCGGACGGGUGAGUAAUGUAUGGGGACUGCCCGAUAGAGGGGGAUAACUACUGGAAACGGUGGCUAAUACCGCAUACUACCGGCUAACCCAUAUGGGAUUAGCUAGUAGGUGGGGUAAAGGCUCACCUAGGCGACGAUCUCUAGCUGGUCUGAGAGGAUGAUCAGGCACACUGUGACUGAGACACGGCCCAGACUCCUACGGAGGCAGCAGUGGGGAAUAUUGGACAAUGGGCGCAAGCCUGAUUCGGCCAUGCCGCGUGUAUGAAGAAGGCCUUAGGGUUGUAAAGUUCUUUCAGCGAGGAGGCGUUACCCACAGAAGAAGCACCGGCUAACUCCGUGCCAGCAGCCGCAGUAAUUC